rnacentral:rRNA from 1 species
GGAUAGGGGACUUUCAGAGAUGGAUUGGUGCCUUCGGGACUCUGAGACAGGUGCUGCAUGGCUGUCGUCAGCUCGUGUUGUGAAAUGUUGGGUUAAGUCCCGCAACGAGCGCAACCCUUAUCCUUGUUUGCCAGCGAGUAAUGUCGGGAACUCCAGGGAGACUGCCGGUGAUAAACCGGAGGAAGGUGGGGACGACGUCAAGUCAUCAUGGCCCUUACGAGUAGGGCUACACACGUGCUACAAUGGCGCAUACAGAGGGCGGCCAACUUGCGAAAGUGAGCGAAUCCCAAAAAGUGCGUCGUAGUCCGGAUUGGAGUCUGCAACUCGACUCCAUGAAGUCGGAAUCGCUAGUAAUCGUGGAUCAAAAUGCCACGGUGAAUACGUUCCCGGGUCUUGUACACACCGA